UACGAAGGGGACUAGCGUUGUUCGGAAUCACUGGGCGUAAAGCGCACGUAGGCGGAUUCGUAAGUCAGGGGUGAAAUCCCGGGGCUCAACCUCGGAACUGCCUUUGAUACUGCGGGUCUUGAGUCCGAUAGAGGUGGGUGGAAUUCCUAGUGUAGAGGUGAAAUUCGUAGAUAUUAGGAAGAACACCGGUGGCGAAGGCGGCCCACUGGAUCGGUACUGACGCUGAGGUGCGAAAGCGUGGGGAGCAAACAGGG
rnacentral:rRNA from 1 species